rnacentral:rRNA from 1 species
CCUUGUGUCUGGAAUAAUACACCGAAAGGGGUACUAAUACCGGAUAUUCUUGCUUUUCAUAAGUUUGGCAAGCAAAGGUGGCCUCUGACAUAAGCUACUGCAUGAGGAGGAGUCUGCGUACCAUUAGCUAGUAGGUGGGGUAAAGGCCUACCUAGGCUUCGAUGGUUAACGGGUCUGAGAGGAUGAUCCGUCACACUGGCACUGGAACACGGGCCAGACUCCUACGGGAGGCAGCAGUGAGGAAUAUUGCGCAAUGGGGGCAACCCUGACGCAGCGACGCCGCGUGAGUGAGGAAGGCCUUCGGGUCGUAAAGCUCUGUCAAAGGGGAAGAAGUGUAUAGCGGUUAAUACCUGUUAUAUUUGACGGUACCCUUAAAGGAAGCACCGGCUAACUCCGUGCCAGCAGCCGCGGUAAUACGGAGGGUGCAAGCGUUGUUCGGAAUUACUGGGCGUAAAGGGCGCGUAGGCGGCUUGGUAAGUCAGAUGUGAAAGCCCACGGCUUAACCGUGGAAGUGCAUUUGAUACUGCUAGGCUUGAGUACCAGAGGGGAAAGUGGAAUUCCCGGUGUAGAGGUGAAAUUCGUAGAUAUCGGGAGGAAUACCGGUGGCGAAGGCGACUUUCUGGCUGAGUACUGACGCUGAGGCGCGAAAGCGU